rnacentral:rRNA from 1 species
GUUCUCCCUGACUCCUUGAGAGUCCUGAAGGAACGUUGAAGACGACGACGUUGAUAGGCCGGGUGUGUAAGCGCAGCGAUGCGUUGAGCUAACCGGUACUAAUGAACCGUGAGGCUUAACCUUACAACGCCGAAGCUGUU